rnacentral:tRNA from 1 species
ACCCAGCUGGCUCUGUCUGCAGAGUGUGUGACUCUUGAUCUCUGGGUUGUGAGUUCGAGUCCCACGUUGGGUG